CAUUGAAAGGAUGGAUUAGCUGGCAAAGAGCAAGGAGGGAUUGUGUCAGACAGGCAGCGUCAGGGUAGGAUCCACAUACUGGUGUGCUGCAUGAGUGGAAGUCUAUGUUGAAGAAGCGCGUCAGGCAAGUGGAGAAGGAGAGACAUGCGCCCCCUCUGGAUGACAAGGGGAACAUUUUGUUUACAGCUUUGCCCAAUGUUUUGUAGUUCUGCUCAAAAUGGCGCUUUCGCCGAGCUUCUGACUGCCUAAAGCGUACCCACUUCAUUAUCUUGUAUUGUUUAUCAUGACUCAAAAGGCUUGUGAAGGGAGGACAACAAGAAGAAAAACAAAUAAAUAUAGUAUAUAUUUCG